rnacentral:rRNA from 1 species
AUGACGCUGGCGGCGUGCUUAACACAUGCAAGUCGCACGAGAGCGCUUCAGCUUGCUGAAGUAAGUAAAGUGGCGCACGGGUGAGUAACGCGUGGGUAAUCUACCUCCGAAUUGGGGAUAACAUUGCGAAAGUGAUGCUAAUACCGAAUGAUAUCUUUAAGACUUCUGUUUUAUAGAUGAAAGGUGGCCUCUACAUGUAAGCUACUGUUUGGGGAUGAGCCCGCGUACCAUUAGCUUGUUGGUAGGGUAACGGCCUACCAAGGCUACGAUGGUUAGCUGGUCUGAGAGGAUGAUCAGCCACACUGGAACUGACACACGGUCCAGACUCCUACGGGAGGCAGCAGUGAGGAAUUUUGCGCAAUGGGGGAAACCCUGACGCAGCAACGCCGCGUGAGUGAUGAAGGCUUCCGGGUCGUAAAGCUCUGUCAAGUGGGAAGAAACUACAUGAUGCUAAUAUCAUCAUGUGCUGACGGUACCACUGAAGGAAGCACCGGCUAACUCCGUGCCAGCCGCCGCGGUAAUAC